GAGUUCCCGAAAGGCCGUUUUAUUUCGUCUCUCUCCUCUCUCUUCCCUCAGAACAGAUCCUGUUUGCAAAGUUCCUUCGCGUUCCCAUGUCAGUUUUCGAUUUUUAUCUUCAAUGGUUCAACCUCUUUCACAAUAUUCUCAUACAUAUCCCGAGCCCUUUCAACCCAAACCCCCUUCCUCCACUUUUAUUUCUAAUCACAUCCGAAAGGGAAAAAAAAAAUCUUCCCUCAGAACAGAUCCCGUCUAAAGUUAUUGUUCUUGUCUGCAUCAACCACCCGAGUGAUCAUGUUUCAAACAGAGCAUCUGAAUUAUACCUAGUUGGAGUUGGAGCUGGGGUUGUGGAAUCCGAGCUGAGAAAGCCGCCUCCAGUCUCCUCGGCUUGCUUUUCUCGGAUCCCACCCACCACCACGACACCAAUUACUAUUGCGAUUCCUUUGAAUAUUCGGCGCUUGACUCCGCCUCGCCUCGGAGCACUACUAAAGAUGUCACACACUAACAGAAAUCUCGGGAGGAAAUUUUUUUCUUGACCAAAUUAUAACACGGGAGAUGCGAGAUGUGAAUUUUUUGGAUUAGGCGGAUAUACUGAAUUUGAUAGAGGAAAACAUUCGAAGAAGAGAGAAUACAAUUUGAAAGAGGGAGGAGGACCAUGGAGGAUAGGCGUGAAUAUUAUUGUAUUUGUAUUGGAUUAUGUCAAUUGUAAUAGUUUCUGUCUGGUUCAGAUAAACUAUAGGGAAGAUGUAAAUAAGUGGAUAUUUUCUUUAUUUUUCUUGUAUGAAUAAAUUGUAAUGGCACUAUAGAGGCUAUGAAAAGUCUACUGUUUUUGGUCACUUUUUUGAAUAUACUGGGCUAUAUA